rnacentral:tRNA from 1 species
UGGGGACAAGCUAUUAAGCAUUUCAUUUACACUGAAAAGAUACUUGAAAUUUAUUCAAGGUCCUUAA